CCGAAGGAGAAGAGGGAGAGGGAGCGAUCGAGAUAAAGAGAUAGAGCGAUGGCGGAAGAGGGAUCGGUGAUCGCUUGCCACACCGUCGAUGAGUGGAACCGGAAGCUCCAAAAAGGCAAUGAAUCCAAGAAGCUGUGGUAUGUUCAUGGUGUCCAGCUGGAGGAAGGAAUAUGUAUCCAUUGAACUAAUGCUAUGGGCCUCCUUCCUUAGUUUAAGGGUGUUGAGCAGUCCUUUUUGACUUCCUCGUAUUUAGAUCCAAAAAAUAUUUAGUAUUAUUAUCUACGGAUGCGCUGUCUCACGGUCAUCGUUGUGGGUUUGGUCUGUAUGGAUCCAUGCGUCAAAUCCAAUUCCAAUUUACAUUGGUAUGUUCAUGGUUUCCAGCUGGAGGAAGAAAUAUGUAUCUAUGGAACUAAUGCCGUGAGCCUCCUGCCUUAGUUUAGGGGUGUUGAGCAGUCCUUUUUGACUUCCUCGCAUUUAGAUCCAAAAAAAAUUAUUAUUAUUAUCUUCGGAUGCUGUGUUACGGUCAUUCUUUUUCACAUCAUUUUAUGGUGUAUCAUGGUCCCAUACUAUGACCUGGCUAUCCUAACUCUUGGAAUUAUUAGUUUUGACAAAAUCUUUCAUGUAAAAGUUAAUGACUAGAUGAUUCCUUUUACAUUGAGUUGGUUCAAUUGCCAACUUAAUCAGUGAUAGCAAAACAAAAUUCAUUUCCAUUUUUUCUAUUGGUGGCAGUGUUUCGAUAGAAUCAACACCAUUGACUUUUGCACAUAUUUCUUAUCUGUAAGACCGGUCAAAUUGUUUAUUAAAGCGAGUUCUAUAUUGUUCCUCA